AUUUUACCCACUGAAGACGAGUAUUCAGGGGAGAGGGUAAUGUCUUAAUUCUGGAACGGUUGCGAAGAAAAACAAAUAAUGCGAGAAUAUUUAGUGCGAUUCACUACACAAUUAUGAUGUCAUUGAUAUAAUUUUUCUUGAGAUGAAAAGAUUGAUGUGUGCUACUUCAAAAUAUUGAAAACAUUGGUACCAGAACAUUUCGCAACUCUUAACGAGCGCAUAAAGAAGGGUAGAUACAUGCAGUCAAAUCCAACCUUAAACUACAGACUGCCGAUAUGCAUCAUACUAGUUUUGGAAUCGAGGAGUUCAGCAAAGUGUAUUCGGUGAAAUCGACUUGUCUAUCUUUGGAAAGGACUCAGAUACGAUUGAAGCUGAACACCUACUUUCGAGCAUUCAUGACAUUACUCGAUUGUUCGGAAAAUGAUAUCGUGGAAAUAUUGGUAAAAAAAGGAGUUCUACCAAGUUAAAACUUUCAGCUCAUCAGUACACAGCAAGAGCUCACAAUAUGUUUAAAAAUUGCGAGAAGCUGUGGUGAAAUAUACGAAGCGUUUAAAACUGGCAUCGAAAUGAGAGAGAUAAAUGCUAACGGAUACGCACUGCAACCAAAAUAUGAAUAUCUAAAUUCAAAUUUAUGUCAGGCGUUAGAGGUUUUGUUUGUAAUGCAUCCUUUGUACCGCAUGCACAUCAACAGUCUUCAUAUUGAAACGGAUCUGAUCGAUGGGGGAAAAGGUAAACUAGUCAAUGCUAUUCCUAAUCGAAAUCGCAAAUUUGUUGAAGAUCCAAAGGAUCAGUCGAGUCUCCCUAAAAGAUGCUUUUCAAAAUUUGCAAAACAAUUAAAAUGCGUUGUUCUGAUGAUAAGGCAUGUUCGGAGCAAAAUGAGAUAAUCAGUAUGCCGGUCGAUUUGUCAAUUGGAAAGAAGAAAUCGUGGAAACGUUUACCCCAGAACAAGAGGUAAAAGAGUACCCGAUGCCCGUAAGCGACAUGUUGCCCGAAAAAGACCCGUGUAACGUUUACUUCAUCAAUCAGUUUCAAAACGAUGAACAAGAAGACAUGCUCUCUCAAGCGGUUAGAACAUGCAUUCCCAACAUUCACAUCCCAUCGAACUUUAUCGCAUUUUGUAUGUCGAAGGAAUUGCUAUCAAACGGCCUCGUGUUGUACAUUCCUGCAGAUGUUGUGUUGUAGUCUGUUGUGCGCAUAUCAUUUUUUUGUUAUAUAGUUAUUACAUGUGUUUUGUUAGAUGAAUGAAAUAAAAACCAGUAAUGUU